CCCUUCUCAGGACCACACCUGGAGAGUUUCCAGUACUCUACCAGUCUCAGCUAUGGGAGGGAGAGUCAAGCAGAGACCUGUCCAUUCCAUUUCUAGCUUGGGCAGUGGCAAGCGAGUGAAAGGUAAUCUGCUACAAAA